GGCCGCACUCCUGAGGGGGCCCCUGUCGAAGCCCUGCGUCCCCCACGACGACCGCCACCUCGGCCCCAAAUUCACUUUCAGCAUUUGGAGCCUCCUCUUCGCGCUACCGCGGGUCACAGUGAAGCUCUUUGAGGUCAAGGAUUCCACCGGAGUUCUACACUGUACUUUACUGAGAUGAGCACUGGGUUUUCUGUGAAACUGGAUUGAGUUCAAAUCCCAUAUCUGUCUUCUAUGAAUCUGUGAUCUGAGGAGCUACCUGCAUUAUACAGCAAUAUUCCCCUGAAGAAUUGAGCCCGUUACCGCUACCAGCCACUUGGUCAACAAAUCACCUGCUAAUGUCUUCCUUCCCUUCUUUGUCUCCCUUCCCAACUCCUUUCUCCCUGUGCUUUCUGUAAUUUCUUAAAUAAACUUC